rnacentral:rRNA from 1 species
GACGAACGCUGGCGGCGUGCCUAACACAUGCAAGUCGAACGGAGAUGUAUUUUGGAAGUUUUCGGAUGGAAGAGAUACAUCUUAGUGGCGGACGGGUGAGUAACGCGUGAGUAACCUGCCUUUCAGAGGGGGAUAACGUACUGAGAAGGACGCUAAUACCGCAUAACAUAUCGAGGCCGCAUGGCUUUGAUAUCAAAGGAGCAAUCCGCUGAGAGAUGGACUCGCGUCCGAUUAGCCAGUUGGUGGGGUAACGGCCUACCAAAGCGACGAUCGGUAGCCGGACUGAGAGGUUGAACGGCCACAUUGGGACUGAGACACGGCCCAGACUCCUACGGGAGGCAGCAGGUGGGGGAUAUUGCGCAAUGGGGGAAACCCUGACGCAGCAACGCCGCGUGAAGGAAGACGGUUUUCGGAUUGUAAACUUCUUUUGUUAGGGACGAUAAUGACGGUACCUAACGAAUAAGCUCCGGCUAACUACGUG